CGUCAUUUACCACGGAGAUGAAAAUGCUAAUCUAUGAAUAACUUACGAGCAUCUUAGAGAAACACGCUAUGAUAACAUCUAUGUGAUAAAGAAGAAUCCUAAGUAGCUGUCACUAUAUGAAUAGUGAGUAUUCCAUCUUUGAGUCAUACGGCUGAACGUGAUCUUUCGUCAUGGCUGUAGCCUCUGUCGACCCCGUACUGGAUAACGACGUGAUUAUAUUUAUGUAGAUCGUAUAACCAUGGCCCAAUUCCGUAACUUCGUGUCUCUUCAAGUCAUGGCAUUGGCAGAAUUACCGAAAGUCUGGUGGAAGGCAAAUAAAAAAAGAAAAAAGAAGGCGUAAGUGACCCUACUAGAAGUAGGGUACAGCAAUAAAUUGGGUUACUUGCGACACUUUAUAAGAUCUAAUCGAUAGUCCGAAUAAAUGGU